rnacentral:misc_RNA from 1 species
UACGGAGGGGGUUAGCGUUGUUCGGAAUUACUGCGCGUAAAGCGCACGUAGGCGGACUAUUAAGUCAGGGGUGAAAUCCCGGGGCUCAACCCCGGAACUGCCCUUGAUACUGGUAGUCUUGGGUUCGAGAGAGGUGUGUGGAAUUCCGAGUGUGUAGGUGAGAUUCGUAGAUAUUCGGAGGAACACCAGUGGCGAAGGCGGCUCACUGGCUCGAUACUGACGCUGAGGUGCGAAAGCGUGGGGAGCAAACAGG